GAUGAAGAACGUAGCGAAAUGCGAUAAGUAGUGUGAAUUGCAGACUUUAGUGAAUCAUCGAAUCUUUGAACGCACAUUGCGCCCUGUGGUAUUCCGCAGGGCAUGCCUGUUCGAGCGUCAUUUCAACCCUCAAGCCCCGCUUGGUGUUGGGCCCCGCCCGCCGUGGCCGGCCCUAAAGACAGUGGCGGCGCCGCCUGGCCCUCAGCGUAGUACAGCUCUCGCUCCAGGGUCCGGCGGCCGCCUGCCAGAACCCCCCCAACUCUGUGGUUGACCUCGGAUCAGGUAGGGAUACCCGCUGAACUUAAGCAUAUCAAUAAGCGGAGGA
rnacentral:misc_RNA from 1 species